UACGGGGGGGGCAAGCGUUGUUCGGAAUUACUGGGCGUAAAGGGCGCGUAGGCGGCCACGCAAGUCGGAUGUGAAAUCCCUCGGCUCAACCGAGGAACUGCAUCCGAAACUGCGAGGCUCGAGUCCUGGAGAGGGUAGUGGAAUUCCCAGUGUAGCGGUGAAAUGCGUAGAUACUGGGAGGAACACCGGUGGCGAAGGCGGCUACCUGGACAGGUACUGACGCUGAGGCGCGAAAGCCAGGGGAGCAAACAGG
rnacentral:rRNA from 1 species